rnacentral:rRNA from 1 species
GACGUAGGAUGCAAGCGUUGUCCGGAAUUAUUGGGCGUAAAGAGCUCGUAGGCGGUUUGUCGCGUCUGCUGUGAAAACUCGGGGCUUAACCCCGGGCCUGCAGUGGGUACGGGCAGACUAGAGUGCGGUAGGGGAGACUGGAAUUCCUGGUGUAGCGGUGAAAUGCGCAGAUAUCAGGAGGAACACCGGUGGCGAAGGCGGGUCUCUGGGCCGUAACUGACGCUGAGGAGCGAAAGCGUGGGGAGCGAACAGG